rnacentral:rRNA from 1 species
GGCGAACGCUGGCGGCGUGCUUAACACAUGCAAGUCGUACGGUAAGGCCCUUUCGGGGGUACACGAGUGGCGAACGGGUGAGUAACACGUGAGUAACCUGCCCACAACUUUGGGAUAACGCUAGGAAACUGGUGCUAAUACUGGAUAUGUGCUCCUGCUGCAUGGUGGGGGUUGGAAAGCUCCGGCGGUUGUGGAUGGACUCGCGGCCUAUCAGCCUGUUGGUGGGGUAGUGGCCUACCAAGGCGGCGACGGGUAGCCGGCCUGAGAGGGUGACCGGCCACAUUGGGACUGAGAUACGGCCCAGACUCCUACGGGAGGCAGCAGUGGGGAAUAUUGCACAAUGGGCGCAAGCCUGAUGCAGCAACGCCGCGUGCGGGAUGACGGCCUUCGGGUUGUAAACCGCUUUCAGCAGGGACGAAGCUUUUUGUGACGGUACCUGCAGAAGAAGCACCGGCUAACUACGUG